rnacentral:rRNA from 1 species
CCAACAGGGAUUGCCUUAGUAACGGCGAGUGAAGCGGCAAAAGCUCAAAUUUGAAAUCUGGCACCUUCGGUGUCCGAGUUGUAAUUUGAAGAAGGUAACUUUGGAGUUGGCUCUUGUCUAUGUUCCUUGGAACAGGACGUCACAGAGGGUGAGAAUCCCGUGCGAUGAGAUGCCCAAUUCUAUGUAAAGUGCUUUCGAAGAGUCGAGUUGUUUGGGAAUGCAGCUCUAAGUGGGUGGUAAAUUCCAUCUAAAGCUAAAUAUUGGCGAGAGACCGAUAGCGAACAAGUACAGUGAUGGAAAGAUGAAAAGAACUUUGAAAAGAGAGUGAAAAAGUACGUGAAAUUGUUGAAAGGGAAGGGCUUGAGAUCAGACUUGGUAUUUUGCGAUCCUUUCCUUCUUGGUUGGGUUCCUCGCAGCUUACUGGGCCAGCAUCGGUUUGGAUGGUAGGAUAAUGACUAAGGAAUGUGGCUCUACUUCGGUGGAGUGUUAUAGCCUUGGUUGAUACUGCCUGUCUAGACCGAGGACUGCGUCUUUUGACUAGGAUGUUGGCAUAAUGAUCUUAAGCCACCCGUCUUGAAACACGGACC